UUCAUGGAGUAUGUGUCACAGGGGAUAACUGGAAUGCUUGCUGGGUGUUUUCAGCAGCCUCUCCAUCCAGGAAAGGAACGAGUCUACCUGGGCUGCCUUCUGUUGCUAGAUUGGGAGUUAGGAAACAUCAAGCCUGGAGAGCAUUCUUUGAGGCCCAAAAUGCAUCCAUACUUUAUGUAGAAUUCAUAUCAAUGGAAAAAAUCAGCUGAGAAGACUGAAAAGGAAGAGAUGCCGUUAUUUUUGCUUUUAAACAGG
rnacentral:lncRNA from 10 species